rfam:Dipodomys ordii contig_11444, whole genome shotgun sequence.
GGGGAUGUGGCUCAGUGGUAGAGCGCUUGCCUAGCAUGCAUGGAGCCUUGGGUUCCAUUCCUCAGUACCA